GGAGUUUGGAAACUAAUGUUCCUGUGCUAACCUUCGUGUCUCUGUGACAUGACUGUUGAGAGACGGAGAGUGCGAAAUCUUUGGAGUUUAAGCUUGCCAACUGAGCGGCCUAGCAGAAUCCUGGGAGACGGAAGGACAGCCAAGAGGCUAAGAUUUACCUUUAAGUGUCCCUAGAUCAACUAGGCAGACUGGGACGGGAGACGCUGUGAAGGUACCAGGGAGGGAACGAGUGAGGUUCCUUUUCCACUUUUUCAUAAACCAACAGUCAGGUUCAUGGCGAAGAUAUACAUAUUUCUGUAGAUUUUUUCCCCAACAUUCUAAUUAUGCCUCAUAUUUCGUAGAUCCUAGUAACUGCUUGGAUUACUGCCACCUCAGAGGGGCGUCUGGGCAUGGCUUUCCCAACCUAGUAACUGCAACUUCUAGCAUCCUACAUGUAGGACUUGGGAAUAUGUGAGACAGCGCCAAGAAUUUAAUCCAGGAGAAUUGACAAGCUUAAAUGAAAUCCAUAUUGCCCACUGAUUUUGUGCAGCUUCAGAUAAGUAAUCUUUCUCCACUUAGCCUUUUGUAACAAUUGAUGUAAUAAAGGUUUGUAGUCUUUGCGUAAUUUAUUAAAGCAUUGUGCCUAAAAUAGAAAAAAAGCGUAGGAACCAUAGGCUACGUUUUCUUUUGAUUUAAUAUUUUCAUUUCUUCAGUUAAUAGAAAUUUGUCAAAAUUC
rnacentral:antisense_RNA from 1 species